AACAGUAAUGUUAGGAUUAGGAAGACAGUGGUCCAGACAGAGGGUAAGCCAAGGUCAGCUGCAGUCACAGCCCUGCAGCUGCAAACCUUUUCAAAGAGGGAAUGGAUCAAGGAAGGUGAUGAGUCAUAAAGCUGUAAGAAAAGAGAAAAAAAUCCUCAGGGAUAUAGACUCUGCUGCUACAUUAUCAGUGAAAUUGAAUCUGCGUUCUGCAGCCUGACCCAGGUAUUAGACUGGAUUCCACUCUCUCUUUCAGCAAAGUGGGCAUGAAGACCUUUUCAACAUCUUUUUCAAGCAUUUAGAAUGUCCUGCAGAUAUGAAACAAAUGAGCUGUUGCUAAGCGGUGUUUACACUAAGUCAAGGACUUAUCAGCUUCUCAAACUGUCCUGCAAGCAAAGAGCUGUGAGGAGACAGAACCAGGAGGGCUGUCCAGAGGGAUAUCCCAUACCACGUGGAGUCAUGCAGAACAAUAAAUCUGAGUGAGCUGGCUGGAGGAGAAGCAGCUGCUCAGGGACUGGCUGGGCAUUGGUUGGAGAGUGAGAAAACGUCUGUGUGAUGCUGAGCUGCGUGCCAGGUUAAACAACAACACAAGUAAAUACAUUUCAGGAUUAUGAAAACACAAGGAUGAAAAGUCAUUCAGACUUUUGUUUAUUAUGGAUGCCCAGAGUAAGUGUUGGCAGACUAGAAUUCUUACUCUGCCUCUUUCUCCUGGUCAUGCUUAUAGCUGUUAACUCAUUAUAUUUCUUUCCUCAGCCUCUCUGUCCUCAGCCAGGUUCUUUGGAACUUGCUGUAUCUCCUCUCAUUUUUUCCUUGUACACACAGCCAGAAGAGUCCCUUCUUGAGAGGUUGAUAUCACAAUACUUUUGACUGCUGGAGUCAGCUCUAUUUUUGCCAUUGAAGGUUUGCAUGGUAAUUAAGAUCAUCCUUUGGACUUAGAUAUUUCUCCUAUAUAAUAAAAUAAAGUUGCCUUUUUUUGUAUGAAACAUCUUUCAUCAGAAGAUCUGAAGUGCCUAGUGAACAUUGAUUUAUUCAACAAAGUAUAACAAUGUACUAACAGUUAAACUUUAAGUAAUGAAUUUGGAAGAGUUUCUAUUUUCAAAACACUGUUCAACUGAGAAUAAUCUUUCACGGUUAUAGCACUGAGUUCAUAGGAGUAUUUGGCCUUAAUUGUUUCCAUUUUAGCAGACAACAUAUGAAAAAUGAAUCCUGUCUGCAGGAGAUAAAACAAACAACUAAAUAAUUGUUUGCGAUGCCAGGAAGAGAACUGAGAUUACUAAACUAUUUGACUUUUAUUCUUUAUUUAACAACUAAGUAGCUAGUCUUCUGUUUAGAUAUGUGUGAAAAGCUUUACAUUAAAUUUCUGCUAUUUUGGUGAAAGAAGACUUAAAUAAAAUUGUAUCUCAGAAGAGAUGGAAAUACAUUUCAAAAUGAUUUAAGUUGGAAUCUACAAAAUGCUUUCCUCUUAUUCAACUUCUUUUUAAUAUUUAAGUCAUAAUAAAAACGGUUAAAGCUAACUAAUUUUUAUUAGAGUGAUAAAAAUAAAAUAUUUCCAUCUAAUGAUAUUUUAAAGUUCCUAUGAAUUAAAUAUGGAUAAUUACUUUUGGAUUUUAACUUUUGGUCCAAUUCAAGACAGCGUAUUUUGAAAUAACUUGUCCUAUUAUAUAACUCACCUAUCUAAUUCACUCAUAUCUCUAUAGUAACAAUCAAAGUUCUUCUAGUAAUUAAAACAUUAUCCUUGAUGAGUUAUCCAAAUACUAUAGAUGCAAUACUGUAAUUCAUUUUAUCAUUUAAUUCACAUCUGUCAUUAUGUAUAGAAAAAAAACCUAAUAUUUUUCCCUUUGGAAUGUGGAUUAAAAGGAUUUCAUAUUUGUGUCUUUUGGACCAAAUAUGGAUCCAGAAUAGUUUUUACUUUGGGGCAUUAAUAUUCUGCAUUUUGCAUAAACUCAAUCCGCUUAGAACCAAGUAUUUUUUAGUAUAAAUGCAUGCAUCUAAUGACAUGAAUGAGUAUUUCAAUUCACACUUUGUUAAUUUUCUCUUGCUUACAUGAUUUUCCUAUAAUUAACUCCCCAAUUUCUCUGAAGGUUCAGUUAUUCUAUGAUACAAUACUAAUUAAAAUUUCUUGCUGCCACAUAGCUAGCGUGGAUUGCUGGUGGAGCUGAUCAUUUCAGAUUUAAAUAUAAUGACUCCUUUUACACACUUCUCCGCCCUCAAUGUUCUAGAGUAUAUCUCAUUUCUUGGUAGUUAGCUAAAUAAUGAUAGACUAGGGUAAGAGGAGAGCUAAUUACCUGUCGCUGUAUAUGUGCAUACUGUGCAAGGAACUCUAGGUUUUGGGAGACUAGGUCUACUCUUUUGAGGAUGGCUAAAAAGUAACAACUAAAAGAAAAGUGGGGGUUCACAGAUGAUGCCACUGUAGUGGGAUGCUUCAGAGUGGGUGCCUGUUCACUGUGACGGCUUUGUGGUCCUGAAACCUUAAGGAGGGAGGGCAAUGAGCUGAAAAUGAAGGAUAUAAUCUCUGAAUGAGCCUCCAGCUGGUGCUGCUUUCACUAGGGGUACUCAGCAGCAAGCUAUUGAAUGAAGCAAGUGGUGGUGCAAAAUGUUACCAUCCACUAGCUGGCACAACCAGGCUUUAUGAUUAGUCUAGGCAGAUUAUUUAAAGGUGCAUGGGAGGACUCAAGGAUUGUGAUCUGAGCUGCUAUGAGUGACAUGGUGCAGUGUACAAGAGAUACUCUGGAAGGCUGUUUGGGCUUUCCGGUAAAAUCAUAGAAUGGCUUGGGUUGGAAGGGAUCUUAAAUAUCAUCUAGCUACAACCCCACUGCCGUGGGCAGGGUUACCAACCACUAAAUCAGGCACAAGAUCACGGCCCCAACCAACCUGGCCUUGA